AGGAUUUGAGCCUGAAGCAUAUCCAUGGUGCAAUAGGUGGUCCAAGUAAGAUUAAUGGUGCCAGGCUACUGUUCUUAGUUCUCACCAUGAUGCCAAGAUCCAAUCAAGGUUUAAGCUGGCCAUUUUGAAUGCAUAACUAUAAGAUGCAUCAGAGCAAUACAAGAACAGAUCCAGAAUGGAAAGAACUAGAAUUAACUCGCAGCAAGAAAGCAAUUUCACCAUAAGUCACCAGGACCAUGGAAAAUUUUUGACAGCUCACAACAUAAACGGCUUUUAGUAAAUUUCAUAAAACAUUUCAUGGACCAUAUUAUUCCAUGAAGGUAUUCAAUUAUUCAAUCUAGAUAUUUAACUCAUACGUGUUCCUGUUUUUGGUGAGCA
rnacentral:misc_RNA from 1 species